GAUCAUCGCUCACAGCUCUGCAAGCUGCUCUAGUUUGUGAUGAGCCUGCAAGCGUCAACAUAUGUUUAUCAGAGAUAAUCAGGCCACUUCUGUGCACAGUAGCUCUGUCAUCUCUUUUGUUUGAGGGCUUUCCACCUUCCUCUCGGUGUGUGGUGUCUUUUCCACUGCCUCUAGAAAUAAUUGACUUGUCUUGGUCGUUUUCUGCAUCUGUUUGCCAUGGUGCUGCCCAGCAGCCCUGCCGCUGCCCCAAGGCACUGACCUAAAGGAAUGCUCUUCUUUCUCUCUUCUGUUUCUUUCACAGAGCUUCUCUAGAUUUGCUCGUUGUUCAUCUUGCUCUCCUAUGCUGCUCACCUGGUGGCUUUUUCCCCCUUCCUUCUGCAUGUUCAUAAUAUGUUAUUUGCAGCCCAUCUCGAGCAGAACACGAACCAAGAAACAUCUGGGUUGCAUUUUCCACUUCCAGUGUUAGAUGCCAGCACAGAUUAUUUUACAGAGCCUUAUGUAUGAUGAGAAUUUAAAAACAGGUGGGCUAAGAACCACUGGGGAAAAGAUGUGGCCAAGGAGCGUGGGUAGGAAGUGGUCUGAGCUGCAGCUCAUCUGCAUCUGCACAUCCCAAAGCUGCUUCUGCAAACCAUUUGGGGUUUUGGUUCUGUCCCACCAUAGCUUGCUGCCACUCUGGUCUCCCCAACAGGAACUUCAGGGUGGUGGUGUCCCCUGUGCCCUGCUCCCAACUCCCAGAGCAAAGCUCCCACCUGUCACCACAGACACGUCUGUGCUAAGUAUGGGGACAUUUUCUGUUUUGCAUACUUGCUUGCUCUGAACACAGGGGGAAGGAUCCUUAUCUUUGAGCCACAUAUUUCAACCCUUUCUUCAGGUUCUGUUUCUCAGUGUGUGCAUAUGAGAGGGGCAAGACGGGGCUCACAACCUCCCUGUGUCACUGAGGACAGCUGGGCACCCAUCUCCUGGCACCCACCUCCCACCCCCAGUGCUGCAGGCAGCUACAGGAGAUGUUCCCCUCUGCCUGCCCUGCAGGCUGCAGAGCGGAGCCUGGCACGCCCCAAUGAGGGGUCACCACACCGCCCAGUUCCUCCACAGCAAAACUCUGUAGUUAUUUUCACACUUGUGAAACCAGCCUUGCUUCUUGCAGAUCCGGCAGCCUGCAGUUGCAGUGGACCCAGUUCAGCUGGAAUUAUGCUGGUCAUCCAUGCCUGAGGAUUUGCUUCCCAAGUGCAUGGUCCCACCCAGUUCUGCCUGUGCUGUAAAUAGAAGGAAAAGCUGCAAAAAGAUGCAUUUUGUGGAAACACAGAGGAAUGGCAUAUACCUCAGCCUUUUGAAGUCUGUUGGCCUGUUUCUAGUUCACUGAAAAGGGAGGAUUUCAUAGGUCGGUGGCAGUGCUGACAGCCCCACUAAUCCUUCGGUGAGCCCUUUGUGUUAUGGCACAGAGCCAUAACCUCAUGGAGAGGUACAUCCUCCCUGUCCCUGCGUGCUCCUGACAGCUCGCCCAGGAACGCCCGAGCUGUGCUCAGUGUUACUCCAGCCACUUUACAGCUUGCAGUGUGGACAGGACUGGACUUUUCUUCCAGCAAGAUGCUGCUGCUGCAGAUAUUUAAAGAUGUUUCAGUUACACUGUAAACUUAACCUCCCUACAAAGAGGCUUUCAGCUGCUGGCAGGUUCUGUAACAACAGCAAAGGCCUCAUGUUCCCUACAUGCUGUGGUGCAGCCUGUGGGACUCCAAGAGCUGCCUUCUUUUCAGCAGAAGAGGAUGUCCUUAUUUGCUAGGUUAUCAGGGCUGAUGGACUUUUCUGGCCUUAAGCAAGGUGAUCACAAGGAGCUUGGGGAGAUAAGUCAUUCAUAUGGUCCGGUUUUGUUAGGCUUUAAAAUAUACAGGUUCCUCUUCUCCCAUUUUCUACUUGCAAGGAACCAAAACCAGCGACACCAUACAUCACUCUGUUGGGAUGCCAUUCACAAGGAUUGUCUGGGUGUUAAUUGUCUAGAUGUGGACACUCACCUGUGUGAAGACAACAAAGGAAAUGAUGGCUGCAGCUGGAUGUGUGCUGGUUUUACGUGAACUGAAGCAUGGCAUGAGAAGCAAGGCUGGGCUGCUCUCAGCUGCCUGCUGAUGAAUGCACUGCUCUGCUGAGCUGCUAGCAAGCCCAGUGCCAGCCCUCGUUCUGCUCCAGGAGCUGACAGAAGCAAGGUGCCAGCCUGCACCCACCACCUGUGCAGGCAGAAGGUGAGGAAAAUCUGGCCAACAGGCUCAGUGCUGAGCCCUUCCCUAGGCAGAAUCCUGGCCUCAAGUGAGAUUUUUCUUCCUCGUGCUGCAACCUGGUGACACAGAAUUUUCCAGCAAAAAAAGGGAUCUGCCUUUUAUUUUUUAUUUAGCUGGGGCUGUGUGUAGACUUGCAUUUGUAAUGUUGUCUGCAAGUGCAAUUCGAGACAACUGAACCUUCCUAGUUGUUGCUGGGUAUAUGCUGGGUGCCAGCAGGGAUUACAGAUCCCUUCCCACGGCUGUUGCUGCCCAGGGUCUGCCAUUUCUCCACCCAUUAAAUGUGCCACAUAUUUUAUUGAGUGCUUACAUCACAACAGUGAGAGGAGACAAAUACAAAAAGGGCGCAAUGAGGCUCUCAUAGCCUCCCUUGGCCCCAGGAGCUGGAUUGGGCUGGCCAAGGAGGAAACAAACUGGCUUAACUGCUGUUUUCUUUUUUGCCCAGAAAGUGUACCCAUGGGAAUGCGGCCAGUAGGAAGCAUCUUGCUCUUAUGAGACCCAGGAUGCAGUAGGGACAUACUCUGUUUCUUCAGGGCAAAAACUCGUCCAUUGGGGUACGUGAGUCAACAGUGGCAGCCUACUGUGGGAGCAGCAUGGGACACGGAGGCUAUGGGAGACAUGUGGAUGUGCCAUGCCAGCAGGGAUGGUAGAGCUUGGUGAUGUGACCCAUAGGGACAAGCUGGGCGGACUGGCCCUGCCAAAUGCAGAGGGAAUCAAGGGAGAUGAGUAAAGCUUUCAGUAUAUAACAGACUGCCACACAAUACAGCAAUAAACUGCUCUUCAUGCCUUUGGGGACAGAGGAGAAAUUACACUAACAGAGAUUUUGGAAAGAGAAUGGGAGAAGCUCUCCAAGCGCAGGGUGAUUCAGCCCUGGCAAAGGCGCAGGUUGCGACAUGUCCAUCAGUGGCUGCUGGCAGGGCAGCGCUGCACGGGGCAGCGAGGGUGGACAAAAGGGAUUUGGGGUGGGGGGCUUCUGAUCUCCCACUUCUAUAGCUGCUUUCACUGCUCUGAGGCCAGACCGUUGAGGAGAGGUUUCCUGCUGUUGCACAAAGUGCAGCCACCUGUGCAGGUCCGCGCGGCGGCAGCUCGGUGUUCAUCAAGCUAUGAAAGCUUCGAACAAAGGAAUUGAAGAUGGGACUGAAUAUAAAUAGGACUCGGGACCACCUCGAUAUGCCUCUCCAACAAGUUCACGAGGAAGGUUUUGGAGUUUGAUAAGAGCACGUUCCUCUUUCAGCGGGGCAAAUAAGAUAAAGGAGUGCCUGCUCCUCCGCGGUCACCCUGCCAUUGCUGCGCUGCUGCGGCGCGGGAGGACGGCGCCAACAAAGGGCUGGCACGGCUUUGUUCCGCUAAGGAGCGCGGCACAAGGUGGGGAUGGAGCCAGGCGAGGCAGCGCCCUGCAUCCCCCGCAGCGGACCCGGCUGCCCCCGGGCAGGGUGGGGUAGGUGGGUGAGGUUCUCCGCGGAGUGGAUCGCUUCCAUUCAUCUUCCCGUUCUGUAACGCUUCCAGAGCCGGAGGAAGGCUUCGCUUUUCCGUGGGUGGUCCCCUUCCUUCCUCUGGCAGCGUGGGGUGGGAGUCUGGGAGCAGCCGAGGGGGGUGAGCGAUGCCGGGAGGCGAGGGCGUGCAGCGUGCCGGCCGUGUGCCAGCUGCGCUACCGGGGGGCACCGGGGGCUGUGGGGUGGUCGAGGAUCCACGAGUGGCGCAGCAAGGAGUGCACGGGUUCCGACCUGGGCUUCCCGGCAGGGACUUAGCAAACUCAGCCCGGCCUCAGGUUCCGUGGGUCUGAGGUUGAAGCUGGGUCGGUGCUGCAGAGCUGUGGUUUGGCAGGAGACGGUGCGCUUCGCAAGCGGGACUUGGUUCCUGCGUGCUCAGAAGGGGCGGCAGCUCUGCCAGCGUUCUCUGCGUUUAUGAUAUGGGCAAGAUCACCCAAAGGCAUGUGGGCAGGGAACGGCGUCGUACCACAAAGGCAUUUCUUGGGGAGGACGGGAAACUCGCCCUCGCCGCCCGGCUCGC